UCCCUGGUGGCUCAGACGGUAAAGAAUCUGCCUGCAAUGCGGGAGACCUGGGUUUGAUCCCUAGGCAGGGAA
rnacentral:tRNA from 1 species